CUGUGAGUGACAGUAAUACAGAUGAGGGUUGCAUCCUUACCUGUGCGUCCUGACUCGGUGCCAUUCUUCCUUCAGCUACAGCUUCACUGCCGCUUUGACUGUAGAGCUUUGACAGGAUCACAAUCGCUCCAGCGCAAAACGCGCGAACUCUUUUCGUUGACUACGCAAGCACGUCUUGGUUACAGUGGACACCCAAGAAGCCUUAGUUUCUGUGCAGCUCUUCCACUCUGUGAAAGAAUAGCGAACUGUGACAUCUUUCUCAAAGUCCAUAUUGAG